UACGGAGGGUGCAAGCGUUAUCCGGAUUCACUGGGUUUAAAGGGUGCGUAGGCGGGUAAGUAAGUCAGUGGUGAAAUCUUCAAGCUUAACUUGGAAACUGCCGUUGAUACUAUCUGUCUUGAAUAUAGUGGAGGUGAGCGGAAUAUGUCAUGUAGCGGUGAAAUGCUUAGAUAUGACAUAGAACAUCGAUUGCGAAGGCAGCUCGCUACACUAUGAUUGACACUGAGGCACGAAAGCGUGGGGAUCAAACAGG
rnacentral:rRNA from 1 species